UUUUGUUGUUUUGUUCUCUUCGUCUUG
rnacentral:sRNA from 1 species